GCGCAGCAGGCGCGAAAACUUCGCAAUACGCGCAAGCGUGACGAGGGAACCCCAAGUACUCUUGCUUUUUGCAGGAGUUUUUGCCAAGUGUAAACAGCUUGGAGAAUAAGGGCCGGGUAAGACGGGUGCCAGCCGCCGCGGUAAUACCCGCGGCCCGAGUGGUGGUCAUUAUUAUUGAGCCUAAAGCGUCCGCAGCCGGUUUGGUAGAUGCCUGGGUAAAUCGAAUCGCUUAACGAUCCGAAUUCCGGGUAGACCGCCAAACUUGGGACCGGGAGAGGUUGGAGGUACUUCUGGGGUAGGGGUAAAAUCCUGUAAUCCUAGGAGGACCACCAGUGGCGAAAGCGUCCAACUAGAACGGAUCCGACGGUAAGGGACGAAGCCCUGGGGCGCAAACGGGAUUAGAUACCCCGGUAGUCC
rnacentral:rRNA from 1 species